rnacentral:lncRNA from 1 species
CCAAAUUACACACAAGUCCUUCCACCACUCUCACAAACCUAUUCGCGGAUAAGCCCCUCCACCUCCAAAAGUAUUCACAAAUAGGUCCCUGGUUUGUCGCAAAUCAAUCCUAAACCUCCUUUUUAAGCCCUUAGACCAUGUUUAACUCGUCAUUUCAUGCGCCAAACUUCCUCCAAUUAAUCCCAAAUUUUACCACGUCAUCCUCCGGAAUACUUCCGCCGAUCCAUAUCCAAAUUUCCUAAAAAUAAUCUUUCUAUCUAUUUUCCGUUCGCGUUUUCCGUUCGGAGCUCAACGGUUAAAAACCAACUUUCUUUUAUUUAUUUGUGUGCCCGUUUGUGUGUGCCGUAGAUCGCGGAUUGCCCGAGGAGGAGCCCGAGGAGGAGUUUGACCGUGAGCCAGAGCCCGAGGAUCAGCAGCACGAACCGGAACUCCCGGAAGGCUUUGAAGACGGCAAGUCCAAUCUCACCCUUUGAUGCAUACUUAAUACCUAGUUUUUCAAACACAACCUAUUGGCCUGUUUUAUAAAAUGCAUAUUAUUUUAUUCUAUUGCAAGACAUGGUUGGAUAGCCACCCCUUGAUUGUUUUGAACAUUCCUUGUUAUCCUAUGGUUGUCUCUAAAUAUGACCCGCUCUAUUUAGGCGAUAACCACCGCUAGAAUGCUUAGGAAAUUGCUACUCGACUACAAUCAUUAUCACAAUGGUUUAUUUGGAAAGUAAAUGUGUGUGUGUGCAAUUGGGAAAAUGGUUUUCCGGGUUCAAAGGAAAGGAAUGUGUAGACGAGAUGGAUGGGUGUUUCUUGUAUGAAAUGCCAGGAUGUUGUGCUCGUACCUUAGUGGUUGAGCAAUGUCGGGAGAUAUCCAUCUUGUCGUGGUUAAGGACCGAGUUUAUGUGUCAUCUUGCCUAAUUCCACCAUCGUGCAACCACUCGACCGUUGUAUGGGCAACGGCUUAGCAUAAAUCCCACUAGCUAAACUGUUAGUCCUCAGGAGUGCUGGUGAGCAACGGGAGCCCAUGGAAAAGGAGUAAGAUCUUGGUGACUUAGGUCCCGGUUACGGUCUCAUGGAUGAGCCGUGAACCCCUUGGGUGCUUCCGUGAGGGCUAGCCAGUCCCAGCUAAGGUGGGUAAUGGCUUUGUUAGGAUCCGCACCGGCACUAAGGUGAUCGUGCUGCGGUACCCUACUUGUGGGAAAAGUGUACAACCUCUGCAGAGUUAAAAUCUAUCCGGGUAGCCGUGUCCACGGCAUUGGACGAGUUACGGCUUGGUCACAUAACUAGCACUUGGGCAUGGAUGGUCGUGUGCGUGUGCGUGUAAGUUGGAUUUUGAAAGUGUCCGGCAGUUGUGCCGUGAGCUAUGGCGGACGGGGAGUCCAAUAGCGAUAAAACUUGGAUCCUUUGUGUAGGAUCAACCCCACUCCAUGUCCGGUUACCAAAGAAAAGCUUUACAAAAACUUGUUUGAAAACGAGCCUAUGCAUGUGUUGAAAAUCUAGCUUUAUUGCAAAUAAACUCUAACCUAUCCUUGAUUUAUCCUGUGCAUAUAUUUGCUUGUAUUCCCCCCCCCCCCCCCCCCUGGAAGGGGGUGGAAUUGUUGAGUACGUUCGUACUCACCCUUGCUUCGUUACUACAGAGGGAGACCCGGACUUCAUCGCCGAGGACCUUGAGUAGAGGUUGUGUCCGCACCCAACGCUGCCUGUGGUGUUGGCCUUUCCAAGAUGCUGCUGCUGCCGUGUAGUCCCGAGUGCUGUCUUUUGGCAGUCGCUUGGUUAGCCGCUGUUGUUUAUUUACUUCUUAUCGCUGCGUGGCUUUCACGCCCACUCCCUCGGGAGUUGUACGGUAACUGAAUUAUCUGUCGAAUAAAUGUGUUAUCAGCCUCCUGGGACUGAUAUUUGUAUCACAUUUAGUCUCUACUUAUGUGGGGACGCUUCAUCACCCCCCGGUUUUGAGGCCAAAUUGGUCAAACCCUCUUGCACACCCUGCAAGGCGUGACUCACCAAUGUCGAUGCGUGUCCAGCCUCCACCAAGCUUUUGAUGCCUCCAAGUCUUUUGCUCCCGCUCCCGAGCCGCCUACUCGACUUGCCUCCGUUCCGCUUGACUCAACCGACACCGUCUCCAUCCCGUCCGUGUACUCUUGCUCUUCUGUGCACCAUGUGGAUCGCCCGUGACUCCGUCCAGAUUCCUCAGGUCCCUCGGUCCAAGCCUACUCGUGUCCACCGUUCACAGCCUAGUACAUCGGCAUGAACCUUUCACUUGACUUUCAUCUUAUGCCGCCAACCGCCAUGUCGCAUCCAUCACCUGCACAUCACAAGUCAAGAGACACAACACACAAGAUAUGUUUUACACAAACACCACAACACAACACACACCUUGGUUAGUUUUUAGCAUAAUCAAGCACAUAUGGAAUAUGAACUCAACCGGUAAAGCCUCAAAUCAUCCAGUCAAUCACUCAUCGUAAAUAGACCAAAGCACAUGUCAACUUGGUCUCUCACCUGAUAACAAAAUUCUGAUGUCGAGUAUGGUAUUUGUCACUUGCAGAUAUGUAAGCUAUGGAUAUUUUUUUCCUUGCAGCUUUGUAAGUGUGCAUAUGGGAGGAUUUUCUGAAUCAACACAUAGAAGAUAUGUUGUUUUAUUGCUGAGCAGCUACCAUCGACUCCCUGAAAAAUGAGCUGCCCC